CAGAAAGGGCUGAGAUUUUUACAUGUUGAUAUUAGAAGUAGUUUUUAGCUGCAGAUGCAUUCUUUGCUACAAAUGAUCAAGGAUUCACUAAAGGAAUGCUCUUAUAAGCUACUU